ensembl:lncRNA
CCCGCCCAAUCGCCCAGUGCCGUUCAAGAAGGUCGCCUGCGGUCAUGGUGAGCUCCUAGAAGGAGCCCGCCACCUCGUGGGGGAUCAGCGAAGCCUAACCACCGGGGUCCCGCCUCCUUGGGGGCUGCUUGGCUGCUUAGUCCUGGACCCUCUGAUGGCCGGAGGUGGCCACAGCAGAACAUGUGGAAGAUAGAGCUGAACGCCUGCGAGGUGCUCUUCACGUCACUGCGGAAGAGCCUGGGGUCCAAGGACAGUGGCAAGAUUGUCUUCAAGACAGCUUGGGAGACUGGAAUGCAAAAGUAGGAAGUCAAGAAACACCUGGAGUAACAGGCAAAUUUGGCCUUGGAAUGCAGAAUGAAGCAGGGCAAAGACUAAUAGAGUUUUGCCAGAAAAUGCACUGGUCAUAGCAAACACCCUCUUCCUAAAACACAAGAGAAGACUCUGCACAUGGACAUCACCAGAUGGUCAACACUGAAAUCAAGUUGAUUAUAUUCUCUGCAGCCAAAGAUGGAGAAGCUCUAUACUGUCAACAAAACAAGGCCAGGAGCUGACUGUGGCUCAGAUUAUGAACUCCUUAUUACCAAAUUCAGACUUAAAUUGAAG